CAACGGUAGUCGGACUGAGACAUAACGUCCUCUUAACCUCGCCGGAUUCUUCUCGCGCGUGGAGUUACAGUUUUUAGAAAAUCGAUAAGAGGCCAGUGACAACGUUUUCAAUGUUGCCCAUCUAUACAAAACCAUUUUUAAAAUUGUUGUACGGUUUGUACAAAACUGUUCAUAACUGCCAACCGAUUCAUUCUGAAGUAUUAUACGUAGUACCAUAUUUCGGUACUUCGUAUUUUUCCGUAACCGUAUUUUCGCGAUAACCGACAGGUAUACCUAAUACCAAUACGACUACACGCGUAAAUAAGUUUUAGCAGUGGUAUAUACCAAUUAAAGGUACUUACACCUAUGUAACGCUUUUCACUUUUCCUUGUUACCUAUCCGACGUGGUUUUGCACAACAAAUCGAGGGUUAAUUUCGAUAAAAAUUGUGCGAUUUCUUAUGACAUUUCUUCUGAAAACUGUGUAUGCUACCCCAUUCCGCGUGCGGACCCGAUACCGAUACGUGUGAUACGCGACCGGCUGCAAUAAUUCGAACGUC